GCCGGAUUAGCUCAGCUGGUAGAGCAGCGGUUUUGUAAACCGAAGGUCACGGGUUCGAGUCCUGUAUCCGGCACCA
rnacentral:tRNA from 2 species